GGUUAAGCGACUAAGCGUACACGGUGGAUGCCCUGGCAGUCAGAGGCGAUGAAGGACGUGCUAAUCUGCGAAAAGCGACGGCGAGGUGAUAUGAACCUUUGACCCGUCGAUGUCCGAAUGGGGAAACCCAGUGCAAUCCGUUGCACUAUCGUUAACUGAAUACAUAGGUUAACGAGGCGAACCGGGGGAACUGAAACAUCUAAGUACCCCGAGGAAAAGAAAUCAACCGAGAUUCCCCCAGUAGCGGCGAGCGAACGGGGAGCAGCCCGGAGUCUGAAUCAGCUUGUGUGUUAGUGGAAGCGUCUGGAAAGUCGCACGGUACAGGGUGACAGUCCCGUACACGAAAAUGCACAGGUUGUGAACUCGAAGAGUAGGGCGGGACACGUGGUAUCCUGUCUGAAUAUGGGGGGACCAUCC
rnacentral:rRNA from 1 species